rnacentral:rRNA from 1 species
AGUGAACGCUGGCGGUAGGCCUAACACAUGCAAGUCGAACGGCAGCACAGUAAGAGCUUGCUCUUACGGGUGGCGAGUGGCGGACGGGUGAGGAAUACAUCGGAAUCUACUUUUUCGUGGGGGAUAACGUAGGGAAACUUACGCUAAUACCGCAUACGACCUACGGGUGAAAGCAGUGGAUCUUCGGACCUUGCGCGAUUGAAUGAGCCGAUGUCGGAUUAGCUGGUUGGCGGGGUAAAGGCCCACCAAGGCGACGAUCCGUAGCUGGUCUGAGAGGAUGAUGCGCCACACUGAACCUGGGACACGGUCCCGCCUCCUACGGGGGGCAGCAGUGGGAAAUUUUGGACAAUGGGCGCAAGCCUGCUCCAGCCAUACCGCGGGGGUAAAAAAGGCCUUCGGGUUGUAAAGCCCUUUUGUUGGGAAAGAAAAGCAGCAGAUUAAUACCCCGCUGUUCUGACGGUACCCAAAGGAUAAGCACCGGCUAACUUCGU